rnacentral:rRNA from 1 species
CCUACGGGAGGCUGCAGUGGGGAAUAUUGGACAAUGGGGGCAACCCUGAUCCAGCCAUGCCGCGUGUGUGAAGAAGGCCCUCGGGUUGUAAAGCACUUUCAGUGAGGAAGAACGCCUGUUGGUUAAUACCCAUCAGGAAAGACAUCACUCACAGAAGAAGACCCGGCUAACUCCGUGCCAGCAGCCGCGGUAAUACGGAGGGUGCGAGCGUUAAUCGGAAUUACUGGGCGUAAAGCGCGCGUAGGUGGCUUGAUAAGCCGGUUGUGAAAGCCCCGGGCUCAACCUGGGAACGGCAUCCGGAACUGUCAAGCUAGAGUGCAGGAGAGGAAGGUAGAAUUCCCGGUGUAGCGGUGAAAUGCGUAGAGAUCGGGAGGAAUACCAGUGGCGAAGGCGGCCUUCUGGACUGACACUGACACUGAGGUGCGAAAGCGUGGGUAGCAAACAGGAUUAGAUACCCGAGUAGUC